rnacentral:lncRNA from 9 species
GGACCGAGGAGGGAUGGACUGGCUCUGCUGCAUCCCGCUCUCCCGAGGCCGAGGCCGAGGCCGAGGCCGCAGGCGUCGUCACGGCAGAGAUGGCCUCUGCCAAGCCUGCAGAACCUGGAUGAGAACGCGAGGCGGACGCCUAUGGGCCGUUGCCCGCAGGGACCCAGAGAGUCCCCCACCCGAGACCCGCCAGGAACAGGGUGAGGAAGGCAGAAGGCCACCCGAGGAACCUCCACACAGACUGCUCCCCAGGGUCCUCUGCCGGGCUGGUGGGGAGCACAGAAGCGCCAGCUGUGGCCAUGAAGACACCGUCCACAUGAGCCUGACAACCCUGGAAGGCCUGGCCCCCCCUGAGGCCCAGCCUGAAGCAGGAGACCUGGCAUCAGAGGCCAAGACCCCAGCCGAGCGGAAAGACCCUGGAGCAGCCCCCAGAGGAGGUCCAAGACCACAGGAGGACUCAGCACGCGGCCAGGGAGGACCUCCAGCUCUUUCAGAGGGACACUCAUGUCCUCGUGGGGACUCGCCCCACGGGGAGGAUGAACCCUCUGCUCCUCUCCCAAUAGGCCCAGCUCCUCUUGAGGAGCCACCACCCGGGAAGGGUGGAACCAAGGAGCCUCCUGCAGGAGGACCAGGCCCCCAUGAAGACUCAACUCAUGGGCAGGAUCAACCUGCUGCUCCUCCUGAAGGAAGACCAGAGCCUCCUGAGGUCUCACCUCCCAGGCAGGAUGAAAAUCCUGCUCUUCCUACAGGAGGACGAGGCUCUCAGGAGGACUCAGCAGCCGUGCAGGAUGAAAAUCCUGCUCCUCCUCCUGGAGGACCAGGCUCUCAAGAGGACUCACUUGCUGGGCAGGAUGAGAAUCCGGCGAAUCCUCCUGGAGGACGAGGCUCUCACGAGGACUCUCUAGCUGGGCAGGAUGAUAAUCCUGCUUGUCCUCCAGACGUCUCCCGUCCACUCGAACACUCACCAGCCCUGCAGGGGGCACUUGGCCCUGCUCUGGCCGAUUUCUUGGACACUGAUGUGCCUUUCCCUCUGCUAGAUGGCAACGUUGCCCCGGCCUCUGCUGGGGACAAAGGGCCCGAGGAGCAUUCAGCAGCCCUUUUGGGAGUGCCUGCCCUGACUGCUCCCGCACCCCCUGUACCAGGUCCUGGCCUGGCUCUUUCAAGAACCCUCGGCCCAGUUCCAAAACCACCUUCCCCAAGGUCCCCUCCGCCCCUGCCAGUGCCCUCCCCAUCAGCUUCCCCCAAACCCC